rnacentral:rRNA from 1 species
UACGAAGGGGGCUAGCGUUGCUCGGAAUCACUGGGCGUAAAGCGCACGUAGGCGGAUCUUUAAGUCAGGGGUGAAAUCCUGGAGCUCAACUCCAGAACUGCCUUUGAUACUGGGGAUCUCGAGUCCGGGAGAGGUGAGUGGAACUGCGAGUGUAGAGGUGAAAUUCGUAGAUAUUCGCAAGAACACCAGUGGCGAAGGCGGCUCACUGGCCCGGUACUGACGCUGAGGUGCGAAAGCGUGGGAAGCAAACAGG